rnacentral:misc_RNA from 1 species
UUCCUCUGUGAAAGUGCUCUGCAUGCCACAAAACCUCCCAAGCCAAUAGGUAUGAUUGCUGCAUCUGAGCCACCACAAAGCAUGAUAUUAGCUUCGCCUCUAAUGAUGUGGUUUGCUGCAUUCAAUAUACAAAAAUUGCUGGUAGCACAAGCAGUGGAAAUUGAAUAGUUUGGCCCCAUCCAACCCAGGUCCAUUGCAAGCAUUGCAGAACCCAUAUUUGUAGUUGCAAAAGGCACACAGAAAGGAUUCAUCUUCUUGUAGGAGAUCCUUAGUGCUUCAAUUGCAUCGUUGAAAACCUUCAUGCCACCCAUUGCAG